GAUGAACGCUGGCGGCGUGCCUAAUACAUGCAAGUCGAACGCUUUUUCUUUCACCGGAGCUUGCUCCAUCGAAAGAAAAAGAGUGGCGAACGGGUGAGUAACACGUGGGUAACCUGCCCAUCAGAAGGGGAUAACACUUGGAAACAGGUGCUAAUACCGUAUAACACUAUUUUCCGCAUGGAAGAAAGUUGAAAGGCGCUUUUGCGUCACUGAUGGAUGGACCCGCGGUGCAUUAGCUAGUUGAUGAGGUAACGGCUCACCAAGGCAACGAUGCAUAGCCGACCUGAGAGGGUGAUCGGCCACACUGGGACUGAGACACGGCCCAGACUCCUACGGGAGGCAGCAGUAGGGAAUCUUCGGCAAUGGACGAAAGUCUGACCGAGCAACGCCGCGUGAGUGAAGAAGGUUUUCGGAUCGUAAAACUCUGUUGUUAGAGAAGAACAAGGAUGAGAGUAAAAUGUUCAUCCCUUGACGGUAUCUAACCAGAAAGCCACGGCUAACUACGUGCCAGCAGCCGCGGUAA
rnacentral:rRNA from 1 species